rnacentral:hammerhead_ribozyme from 1 species
AUCCAGUUGAUGUGUCCAAAAUAGAACGAAACUGAUGUCCUAGAU